GCAUAGAGGCUGCGGUGGAGCAGGUGGAGCAGGGCCAAUCAGAAGCCAUCCUCUACAAUAAAGCCUGACUCUACUCAUCAUUCUGUGCCAGACCGUGAAGGAUCUACAGUCAGUCUUUGCACCGUUCACUCCAGCCUCCAAACUGUGUAAACUGGUAACUGUUGUCUUUGCUUCCUCCUAGUCUGGAUCCCGGCCGUUCGUGUCCACCUGCUCCCGCUGUUCUUGGAUCAAAGAACCCUGGCUGCAACAACUCACCUGGUCAGUCUCCCCCGUUUCCUGGACGCCGCAGCCUCCAGAACAGCUGCAUGCCACCCAGAGCUUCCCAGCGUCCAACUCCCCCUCAUCUAGGUCUACACCUGGUCCCCUUUCAGUCCAUUCACGCUGAACCUCAGCACGAGCAUUCCAGACUAAGUGAAAGUAGCAGUUCCUCCUGAAGGUCAGAGAUUGCAGCAUCUGAGGGCCUCUUCAAAAGAAGACGUAGUUGAUGAAGACGUUCUGGAGCAGGACCAGAAAGACCACGACCAAGCAGCCUUGAGAUCUUAGGCAGCGUCUCCCUCAGGUCCCUCUCUAUCUCCCCACAUAUCCACCAACCACUGGAACACAUCUCCAAAGUUCUGCUGGACCAGCUCAGCUUCCCCUCAGAAGAAGUGCUGCCACCUGCCAGAUGAAGGAGCCUUUUGAGAGGCAGCUGGCAUCGUGAUUGGACUGUACUUUGGUCUGUUCCAAUCCAGCUUCAGCUCCAGAGACGGCAGGCGGGACGAGUCAAUGGAGGCCGGGUGGAUGAAGACAUGCAGCUGAGUACAAUCCAGAAAACAACAGAGGAGGAGUGCAGCAGCCCAGAGCCAGAACAACCAGAGUAGCAUGGUAUGUCUCUUAGAAAACAUCAUAGUAUAGCCUUUGGGAUGAAAAAACACCAUCAUAUACAUCGUAUAUUGUACAAAUAACAAGUCAAAGGAAAGAGACAUACAUUGUAGAAUUGUAGUAAUUGUGGGCUGAC
ensembl:lncRNA